CUACGGGUGGCUCCAGUGAGGAAUAUUGCACAAUGGGGGGAACCCUGAUGCAGCAACGCCGCGUGGAGGAUGACGCAUUUCGGUGUGUAAACUCCUUUUAUAUGUCAAGAAAAUGACGGUAGCAUAUGAAUAAGCACCGGCUAACUCCGUGCCAGCAGCCGCGGUAAUACGGAGGGUGCAAGCGUUACUCGGAAUCACUGGGAGUAAAGGACGCGUAGGCGGGUUGGAAAGUCAGGUGUGAAAUCCUACAGCUUAACUGUAGGACUGCACUUGAAACUUCUAAUCUAGAGUAUGGGAGGGGGAGAUGGAAUUAGUGGUGUAGGGGUAAAAUCCGUAGAUAUCACUAGGAAUACCUAAAGCGAAGGCGAUCUCCUGGAACAUUACUGACGCUAAGGCGUGAAAGCGUGGGGAGCAAACAGGAUUAGAUACCCCUGUAGUC
rnacentral:rRNA from 1 species